rnacentral:rRNA from 1 species
CUGGCUCAGGACGAACGCUGGCGGCGUGCCUAACACAUGCAAGUCGAACGGGGAUUAUAUUUGGAAGUUUCGGAUGGAGGGAUAUAAUUCUAGUGGCGAACGGGUGAGUAACACGUGAACAACCUGCCCUGAAGUGGGGGAUAACACUUGGAAACAAGUGCUAAUACCGCAUAAGACCACGACCCGGCAUCGGGAUGAGGUCAAAGAUUUAUCGCUUUAGGAGGGGUUCGCGUCCCAUUAGGUAGAUGGCGGGGUAACGGCCCACCGUGCCGACGAUGGGUAGCCGAGCUGAGAGGCUGAUCGGCCACACUGGAACUGAGACACGGUCCAGACUCCUACGGGAGGCAGCAGUGGGGAAUAUUGGGCAAUGGGCCGCAAGCCUGACCCAGCAACGCCGCGUGAGGGAAGAAGGUUUUCGGAUUGUAAACCUCUGUCGCAAGGGACGAAGAAGUGACGGUACCUUGUGAGGAAGCCCCGGCUAACUACGUGCCAGCCGCCGC